GGGGUCGUUUUUGGUUUUGACUGCAAGAUGAAAUGGUAAGUAAGCAUGUCGAGCAUUGUGAGUUGGCUCGUAAAUAUCGGCUCUCAAAUCGCUAACUGGCGAAAAUAAUUAUGCAAUGGCUGCAUAAUCUCGACUAAGUCGGAUUAUCUUAAUACUAACCCUUAGAGGGUUAGCACCAUUUACCUCACAACAGUUCUGUUUGUUAACGGUUGUAUUCGAGGUAUCAAAAUUUCAGACUAGUUAAUAAAUUGCUUCGGUUUAUUGGCGAAACUAAAGAAGCUUAAGCUUAAAGUUGGUGGCUUUUAUCCUGCUUUAAGUCUAACAAUUAAGUAAAAGCUACACAUGAAGAAAGCUUAUUAGUUCCUUGUUUGGACGAGGGUUCGAAUCCCUCCGACUCCACUU
rnacentral:tmRNA from 1 species